ensembl:lncRNA
CGGCACAAGGUGCAUGGCGCAACUUUUACAAGAACGUCCACGCAAUAAAGCCGAUAUCAAGAGACGACCUGUGUCUGUGUUGUCUUGAAGAGAGCUACAGUCAUUGUGAAACGGUGCAGCACAGCACACAGUGACACAACGAAAUGUGUCCUCUGCUUUUAACCAUCAUCCUUGGCCUCAAGUGCUGGACAGGAGCUCCCUUCAUUUCUACCUCAGCAAGGAAGUUGGAAACAGGACAGGGUUCCAGAAGUCUCUCACCUCUUCUCUCAGUGCACACAACCAAACAUGAUCUCUGCAUUUAACCCAUUUUGUGUAGGAUCAGCAAACAGCUAUAAGUGGUGUUCAUGGAGCAAUGUAUGGGGGUGGCACCUUGCUUAAGGGGACCACAGUUGCCACAUGGCAGGUUGAUCAAUUUAAAAACUUGACCUUCUGAUUCUGCUUCCAGGCAACCACCGCCCAACACAAUCAUCUCAUAGGGUCUAGAAUUCCAUACACAGUACAUAUUGUUCUGUAUAUUCCAUACACAGUAACCACUUUGGUUGGAAGUAUAUGGAAUAGCACUAAAUUAAUAGUUUUAUAUUAGCUGACACUACACUCUUAACCCGGAUUUUGUCUAAACCAAAAAAUGUAAGCAGUCAUCACGUAUUCUUUAUUGUUUUUUUAAAAAAAGUUGUCACUGCUAAAAAGUAUUAGUUGUUUGCACUAUUUAGACAAAUAAUUGACUACACUGAUUAAGUUAAGAAGACAUCACUCAGUAUGUUACGUUUUUGAAAAGGGGGAGGGGCUUUUUGAAGCGGGUCGCUUGAGCAGAGAGCUGCAGCUGCCUCGAGAGACGCUCCAACGGUUAAUUUUUGAAAACAACGUGAAUCGGUGAGUUUAUAAAGAGUAUUAUCUGCAGAUAUCUUUCUGAAAAAAAGUGCUAAUCCAAAAUAUGGACCGAUGUUGAACUCUAAAAAGAUGACAAAGUGUUAAUGUGCAGAUAGACGUUUUUUUUUCUGUCGGUUCAUGGUUUAGAUAUAACGUUAACUUUUAAUUCAGCUAUUUUUGUCAUUUCAUAUAUCGUAACAUUAUCCAGAGUGUCUUUGUAUGCUCACAGUUUAGCUGCAACGUGUUUAUUUCGUUAACUUUGUUAUUUUUUUCUUCUGGUUCGCACUUGCAUGUAACGUUAAGAGUCCAUGCAUGUAACUUACAUGUGCUUUCCGUGUGGCUAAUGCUAGCGUGUGUAUUUUUUUUAUUUUAAACUAAUUGGAAAAAAUGCUACUUUAAGUUUUGUAUUAGUGAUUUUUAUAUAGCUGUUAACUU